AGAGUUUGAUCCUGGCUCAGGACGAACGCUGGCGGCGUGCUUAAUGCAUGCAAGUCGAACAAAGAACCCUCGCUGGGUAACCAAUGAGGGACUCUUAGUGGCGAACGGGUGAGUAACACGAUGAGAAACCUGCCCCGGAGACCGGGAUAGCCCAGGGAAACCUGGAUUAAUACCGGAUACCCUCGAAUGACCGCAUGGUCUACUGAGGAAAUGGUCCGCCGCUCCGGGAUGGUCUCGCGACCUAUCAGCUUGUUGGUGAGGUAACGGCUCACCAUGGCAACGACGGGUAGCUGGUCUGAGAGGACGAUCAGCCACACUGGGACUGAGACACGGCCCAGACUCCUACGGGAGGCAGCAGCAGGGAAUAUUGCACAAUGGGCGAAAGCCUGAUGCAGCGACGCCGCGUGGGGGAUGAAUGCCUUCGGGUUGUAAACCCCUUUCAGGAGGGACGAAGCGAAAGUGACGGUACCUCCAGAAGAAGCCCCGGCCAACUACGUGCCAGCAGCCGCGGUAACACGGAGGGUGCGAGCGUUGCGCGGAAUCACUGGGCUUAAAGCGUACGUAGGCGGACAGGCAGGCAUCUUGUGAAAGCCCUCGGCUCAACCGAGGAAUUGCUCGGUGAACCGCCUGUCUUGAGGUGAGUAGGGGCUGUCGGAACGAUAGGUGGAGCGGUGAAAUGCGUUGAUAUCUAUCGGAACGCCAAAGGCGAAGGCAGACAGCUGGGCUCAUUCUGACGCUGAGGUACGAAAGCGUGGGGAGCGAACGGGAUUAGAUACCCCGGUAGUCCACGCCGUAAACGAUGUGCACUAGAUCGAGGGCGUUCUGACACCACUCUCGGUCGAAGCAAAAGUGUUAAGUGCACCGCCUGGGGAGUACGGUCGCAAGGCUAAAACUCAAAGGAAUUGACGGGGGCUCACACAAGCGGUGGAACAUGUGGCUUAAUUCUAAGCAACCCCAAAAACCUUUUCCUGGGUUUUACAUGCCCCGGAUUAAUU
rnacentral:rRNA from 1 species